CUUCCAUUGGACAUAGGAGGCCUUUGAGUGGAAUAACCUUCUUCAAGUUUCUCGGUGGUAUUCAUUGUUCUUGGAUCUUUUUCUCAAUAGGGUUUCCUAUCUUACGUGAGUUCUAGCUCUGAUACCAAUUGUUAUUUUCCUAGGAACACUACAAGAGGGGGGCUGAAUUGUAGGUGUAGAAAUAAACGUAACUUUUUGCGGAAAUUAAAACUUAAACGAAUAAACAAGUUAGAGGAACAAGAGGGAUUUUUAAGAGGAAAAACUUCUUGGGCCCAACAAGAAGAAACAACCUCGACCACUAGGGAUUUUAAACUCAACUCUUUCACUAAUUAGGCCAAACAACUUUGUUACAACCUAAUAUUAACUCGAGCCACACCUUGAGUUCCUAAACUCAAGUUCCUGAGCCACUGUUCCCUUAACAGCAGUUCCUCUCAACUUCUCUCGAAGUUUCCUUACUCAUACAAGCUUCACUCAAAGCCUUUCUCUUACAGAACUUCACUCAAAGUUCCCUUACCCCAAAAACCAAAAUACAAUUUGAUCGAAAUAAGCUUAGUGGAAUUAGAGUAAGAAAGCAAAGAACAAAUGGCUAUUAUGAGAGAAUGAAGGCACUGACACUUAAUUAAUUAAACUCACUUAGUUACUUAGUCAGACACAAUUUAGAACUUAUCUAGACUUCAAUAUUUAUAGUAAUACUCAUAAAGAACGUGGGAUUAAAACUUGAUUACAUGUUGAGUCCAUUAACCCAUGAUGUUCCUUCCCCUAAGGAACACGUUUCACAUCAUGUCCCGUGAUCCCAUGAUCUAAAAAUGAACGUGGAUAUAUUUUAGCCAUUACUCCUAAGUAAUAGGAGUUCCUUGAGCUUUAUCCGAAAAUCAGUUUUAUAAAAACAUUUUUAUCUUUAAAACUGAAUUUUUAAUCUUUAAGAAAAUAAUAUCUUUUAAACAAAUUCUUUCUUAAAAACCGGAUAUUUAUUUUCUUCCUUUUUCCAAAAAAACAAAAUCUUUUACUCAAACGGAUUUUUUCUUUUUUAACUGAUUUUAUCAUUUGAAAUUAGAUAAAACUAAUUUCCUAUAAUUUAGGCAUGACUUACUCAAUUUCACUUUUAACCGUUAUACUUUUGCACGCCUAAGUCUAGUCCCUUUUAUUAACUAAGUUCAUUUAACAUAUUCAUUUAGUGCCACUUAGUUUGUUCCUUACAAAGGAACAAACUCUCAUUCUCAAAUAAAGCUGCCACUGUUCCUUACCAUUCUUACUUUGUUCCUUUACAUUGGAACUAGAAAUAUAACGCCUAGCUUCUAUUCUUCUUGAUCCAAUGCUUGCUCCAGUAUCAACUUAUAGAAACUUCUUUACUUAGCCUUUGAAAUCCUCUCUUGACUUCUUCCUUGACUUCGUAUUCUCCCAAUUCCUUUCAUUGAUACCUUAAACACCAUACACUUAAAUAACUCAUUAGUUCACUACUUAGUUUGUAUCUUUGUUUCUUUGUCAUCAUCAAAACUAGAGUUCAACAUAUCCCCAAAAGUUGGGAUUGAAUAAUAAAAACAAAAGUUCGGACCGUUUUUGUCAGGACACCCAAAGUUGGGAUUAAUUAAAUCAAUUUUUCCUUUUUUCUAUGUUUUUGUUGUGUGAAUUUGCAGGAAUUCCUCUAGACCAGCAGCGUUUGAUCUUUGCUGGUAAGCAACUUGAUGAUGGUCGUACUCUUGCUGAUUACAACAUCCAGAAAGGUAUGUUCAACUUGUAACGGGGGAAUAUACAUACAGUCACUAUUGUCUAUUGUAUAUUGCUACAAAGCCUACAAUAGUUCGUUUAAUAUUUUUUGUAUAAAA